GACGGAGGAUGCAAGUGUUAUCCGGAAUCACUGGGCGUAAAGCGUCUGUAGGUGGUUUAAAAAGUCCACUGUUAAAGAUUGAAGCUUAACUUCAAAAAUGCCGUGGAAACUUUUAAACUUGAGUAUGAUAGGGGUAGAGGGAGUUUCCAGUGGAACGGUGAAAUGCGUAGAUAUUGGAAAGACCACCAAUGGCGAAGGCACUCUACUGGGCCAUUACUGACACUGAGAGACGAAAGCUAGGGGAGCAAAUGGG
rnacentral:rRNA from 1 species